CAUGUACUCCCUCCGUUCGGAAUUACUUGUCUCGGAAAUGGAUGUAUCUAGAACUAAAAUACAUCUAGAUACAUCCAUUUCUGCGACAAGUAAUUCCGAACGGAGAGAGUAUAUG
rnacentral:pre_miRNA from 1 species